AAGUAUUAAAGGUCCCGCCUGCCCAGUGAAUCUCUUUAACGGCCGCGGUAUUCUAACCGUGCAAAGGUAGCGUAAUCACUUGUCUCCUAAAUAGAGACUAGUAUGAACGGCUAAAUGAGGACAAACCUGUCUCUUAUAACUAAUCAGUGAAACUGAUCUUCCAGUACAAAAGCUGGAAUAAUUACAUAAGACGAGAAGACCCCGUGGAGCUUAAAAUAAACCACUAUCCACCACAUAACCCUAGUGCACCAUUUUAAGUUGGGGCGACUUCGGAAAAAAACAAAACUUCCGAGCACAGAGCCACCCCCUCUAACUAAGGCCAACAAGCCUAAGUAUAAACCGAUCCGGCCUAAUGCCGACCAACGAACCAAGUUACCCCGGGGAUAACAGCGCUAUCUUCUUCAAGAGUCCAUAUCAACAAGAAGGUUUACGACCUCGAUGUUGGAUCAGGACACCCAAAUGGUGCAGCCGCUAUUAAAGGUUCGUUUGUUCAACGAUUAAUAGUCCUACGUGAUCUGAGUUCAGACCGGAG
rnacentral:rRNA from 1 species